rnacentral:rRNA from 1 species
CAGACUUGACAUGCAUUGGACGGGUGUGGAAACACACCUUCCCUUCGGGGCCGAUGCACAGGUGCUGCAUGGCUGUCGUCAGCUCGUGUCGUGAGAUGUUGGGUUAAGUCCCGCAACGAGCGCAACCCUUGUCCAUAGUUGCUAACGGGUAAUGCUGAGCACUCUAUGGAGACUGCCGGUGAUAAACCGGAGGAAGGUGGGGAUGACGUCAAGUCCUCAUGGCCCUUACGUCUGGGGCUACACACGUGCUACAAUGGCCGGUACAAAGGGUUCCGAUACCGCGAGGUGGAGGCAAUCCCAAAAAACCGGUCUCAGUUCGGAUUGCAGUCUGCAACUCGACUGCAUGAAGUCGGAAUCGCUAGUAAUCGCUGAUCAGCAGGCAGCGGUGAAUACGUUCCCGGGCCUUGUACACACCG